UCAGGGACUUAAAAGUAUUUUUCAAUGAUCAGGACGAAAAUGUCCACAAAAGAUCAGGGACCUAUUUGUCAUUUUCUCUAAAUAAAGAGAGUCUGCAGUUAGAGGCUUGUACUAGUAGCAUAUGUUGUGCCUCAUUAAAAAGGUGCAGGAAAUGAGUGCGUGGCGGGGAAACAAGAAUAACAACUCCGGCAGACUACACAGACCAAGCAGCCGAAGUGAUGGUGGAGGUGUCAAGGAAGGAUGGAGAAGCUAACUAGCUAAGGGUAGUUUAGUAAUGAAGACAUUAAAGGGGGAGCUGAUUUUGUGGGAUAUGAGAUUGAGAGUUAUGAGGAUGCAUCUGACAAAACCGUUACAUGUGAAUAUAGUGGGCUGAUAAAACUGUGUGUGAGAAAUGUGCAAGGCCCAAUAGCUCAAUGAGGUACAAAAACGAUGUAAGGAUGUCGUUGGGCCCAGAGGAAUUAAUGGAUCGGACAGGCCUUCAUGUAGCGGUUUCAGGGGCUGGGUCGGAUCAAAUAGAAGCGGGUCGGGUUAUGAAGAGUUCUGGAAUCUGGAGUAGGGAUCUUGGGAGGAAAAAGGAAGGCGACUCCAAAUGCACGUUCAAGAGCAGGUGACGGUGCGGCUAUCCUGAUUCAUGGAGAAGGAGGCCUUAUCGAUGGGGAAGGGAGGGGGAACGGUGAGCCCGACGGUGGUGCAGCGAAUUAUGCUGCACGAUCAGCUUCGACGUCCUCCCCUAAGGACCAUAGACACGACGGGAUUUGGGAAGAGGAGCACCAACUUGCGAAGCCAUCAAUGGCGACGAGGGAAGAACCGGUGCGAAGCAUUGACGGGGACAACGAGUCCGAUGAUCAUCGCUAGAUCGAGACUGAUGAUGAGAGUGGGUUUGAGGAUGUGAACGACGUGAACGAUGGUGAAGGGGCUUAUUAGGUGGAGGGAUAUGGACUAGGUGCUGUGAAAACGACACGGAACAGUGAAACGGAGGUGAUUGGUGAAGGAACGAGCGAAGCUAGGUGAAGGGAGAUACGGUAGCAUGCUUGCGUGAUGAAGAUGUUGGAGAACAGAGUAUUGCGGGUAAUGGUGAAUCAGACACAAACGCCAGGAGUCUGGGGACCAGAGAUAGGCAGAGUUUGGAGUUGGAAGAACAAAUGAUUACAAAAAAGAGAACAUGGAGCUGGCAGUGGAAUCUAGUGCAAUACUUGUGAAGAGGAUGAUAUAAUGGCUAUUCUUCAAACACGAAGAGAUUGCAUACAAGGGGAGAUUGGCUAAACAAAAAGAGAAAGCAAGACGAUACAGAUUCAAAAAUUCAAAAGAGGAAUAUACUAAUGUCAUCAAGAUGAUGGAUGACCACCUAUGGUCGAACUACAAGAAGAUCCCUGCUAAGACUAGAGAGCGAUGGUUUCAAAAGUGGCCUGGGCGGUAAAAACUCAACAUUUUCAAACUUUAGUUUAUGUCUUCUAUUUUGUUUAAUUAUGUAUUUAAUUUUGAUUAAUUAGUGCUAAAUGUUCUUUGUGUAAGAAAAAUUUAUAUAGGACAAGACUCACGAUGCCAUGAGCAGGAAGAUCUUCGACCAUCGGAUGACUAGACGACUUCAGCAGAUGAUGGGGAAUGUACGAGAGGUGCAACCACCUCACUGUUUGGCUCCACCUAUACAUCGCGAAGGCACUAUACCUCCAUUGGGAGACUGAUGAGAGGUUCAGACAUCGCCGUCUUACGCAUAAAGCCAACAGGGCAUCAGCCAAGUCAUCGAAGUAUACUGGUGGGUCAAUGACUUUUAUGAAGACAAAGGUCAGACUGUCUAAGUCGUUGGAUCGUGAUGUGACGAUGGCGGUAGCCUUCAAGUAUACUCGCACCUUGAAGGAGAACAAGGAGAGAUUUGUUAAUUAGCAGUCUGCAGAUUAUUAUGAGUCCUACACACAGAGAUUGGAGGUCGCAACCUAGCAAUAUCAGCAUAUUGGAGACGACGACAACUACUCUGCUUCCUCAGAAGUCAAUCCUGACACGGUUUGGCACGAGACCGCAUAUGAGCUGUACAAGAAUCGCAUUUAAGAGUUGGGAUUGUUCUUCGCCAACAACCUCUGCACUUUCACAUUGAGACCAUCAACUGCCUCUACCACCAGUUAGCAUGUCAAUCCCGAGCACGACGUCGAUUUGAGGUAGUAGGUGUUGGAGCUCACCUAAAGCCUUCACCAAGAAGGUCAACAGCUGCAGCAGUCUGAGAAAAGGUAUCAGGAGAUCCUCACACGCAUGUCAGCCACAAAUUCUCUCAAGCUGGAGUGGAGGCGAGAGUUGGAGUGGCUUCAGCGGAUGGAGUAACAGAUGGCGAUAUACCAAGAUCAGAUGCGCACCGGUGGCUGGUGGCAGCAGCACUGCUGGAGGGGCACCAGCAUCACCGCCUUAGCAAGACCAACU